ensembl:lncRNA
GCUAGGUCUUUGAGAUGUGUCGAUUGAAUGUUUUGAAUCUUACCCACUGAACCUUAAAUCAAUGGUUUCUUUCAUUGAAACGGUGAUACAUGAUCUGCAAUAUUAGGACCGUCUCUGGGAAAAGCACACGGGGCUCGAAAAGUUAGCAAACGCUCGCAGAGCAGUUCAUUUGUCACGCUCUCACCAACUGGAAGGCAAAGGGCGCAUUAUGAGGUCACAAAACAACGACUUCCCUGUUGGGUCUCAGCAACAGCUUGUCAUUUGUAGCGUGCUUUGGAAGGAGUGAAAUGCCCCGAAGGUUGCGGAACAACAUCCAUGCUAAUCUGAGCGUCCUUGCGAGUGCAUUAGAAGUCUCUAAACUAUCUGGAGAGUGUCGUAGGUUGUGUGUUCCCACUGUGCUGCAAACCUGCCCUAUGCCUGUUCAGUGUGGACUUGCACUCCUUCCAUUUCCCAGGGGCCGUUUUGAACCAGGGCCAAAAGUUUUGCAGUGGGUCAAAAGUGUGCACUCCUCCUCCCACUAACCCACAGGCGGGUGCCCUGCUCACCCCACACCAGAGGCAGACCCUGCUGGAGGACUGAGGAGGCCAUUUUAUAUGUUUCUCAAAAUGCACCACAGAGGAUGGCCAACACCCGUUUCUAUCUUUAGAUGGGGGAAUCCACCCAAAGCUGUCACUCAUGUGGUCAAAUCUCUAAGAAAAAAAG